rnacentral:lncRNA from 1 species
ACUCAGGCAGAAAUUGAAAGAGGAAAAGAAAGGAAACUGAGAAGCCAUGGAAGCCAGAAACCUUGAGCUGAACACCAAACAGAAGCCAUGGAAACAAUCUUAUCACAUAGAGAUCUAAGGUCAAAUACGACCACUACAAAAAUUUCAACCAUUAUGCUCCAAACAAAUUUCCCAAAGCAAAUCAUUUACAGCUCAUAGAAACAACAACAACAACAACAACAACAACAACAACAACAACAACAACAACAAAAAAUCAACAUAGUGAAGAUUAAAAAAUCGAAGGGGAAACGAAAUCGAACCAGAUCGAAGAACGAAGAAUGACAGAAUUUCGGAUUUAGAGUUACUAUUCUCUUGAUUGCGGUUUAGGGAUUUCGGUUUCUAAUUUGGGUUUUUUUUGGCUUUGUUUGAUGAAGAUUGAUGAAGAUGAUGAUGAAGAUGAAGAACAAGAGAGAGAAGAAGCUGAAGAACAAGAGAAAUAUUUACUUGGUGAUGGUUCACCGUUAUAUUCAGUAGACAUGCAAAUCCUACCAUUACAUUUUUAACAAAAAGAUCAAACGGUUCAGAUUAAAACAAACUAACGGAAAGGACCAUUGUGACUAACAGAUAUGUCUUUAAGGGGCCAAUUUGGACCUUUUUUUCUUUAAGGGACCAUUAUGAAACCUAAAAUGUCUUUAAGGGAC